rnacentral:lncRNA from 1 species
CCCAUCUACACUAAAUACGUGUUGAAUAAAUACUCAAAGAAUAUUUGUUUGAAGGGAUGCAACAUUAUGGGUCUGCUGAUAUGCAUAUACCAUAGGCGAACCCAGCAAGGAUGAACAAUAAAGGCAACUCCUGCCCAUCUCUCCACUCCCUGAAACCCACAACUAUCCCCUCAGGCCCCGCCAUAACUGCUUUUUCCCACCUGGCAAACAGCCUCACUGAAUUCUGGGUGGCAGGCAUUAACCAGACUUCAACACAAAUGCGCCUGUCGAAAAUGGCACCAAGUUAGGUGAAGAACAAAGACACUCUGGCUUCAAAGAGGAAGCUCCAGUUUUUGCACAGAAGGAGUUUCACACAACUUCGGUUAACAACAACAAUCACCUCAGGGGAAGAAAAGGCCCAGACUACAAAGAAAUGCCAAACAAGCAGUCCUCAGUCCUUCCUUUCUUUCUCUGGCGUGUUUUGCACAAAACCUGAUCAGGAGAGGAGGGCUUUGAUAAUCACUUGGACCAUGACUGCUGCUAGUAGCACUUCUUCUGCUUCAUAUAUCUCAGCAAUUUGCGGGCAUCUGAGUGUUCCAUGCUUACCCAGGUUUAGAGUGUGAACACACACACACACACACACACACACACACACACACACACACACCAUGAAAUGGGAUUGGCUGGCUAGAAAAAGAUUCUGGCGACUUCCCAAAGAUUACAGGCCAAGUAAUGUUUUUCCUUUUUUCUUUCUUUUUUUCUACAAUUCCCUCUCUAUUUUUCUUACUCUUCCAGUCAACUGCUGAUGUGUGGCUGUACAGCAAUGACAAAUACAUACUCACCCUAAUUGCCACGUUUUUGAGGAAAAGAAGUUGAAAAUGGUGGGAAAGUGGCAGCUGACUGCACAGGGAGACGGAAUGAAAUUUCGAAAUAAUGAACAAUUUAAAAAUGUUACUUUUCUCCUCUCUCUAAACUCAAAGCAGAGAAUUUUUAAAAAACUGUUUCCAUCUUGAUAAAACCCUAAUUAAAAAUAAAAGGGCUAAUUAAAAAUAAAAAUAAAAGGACUCUUUGUGGAAUGAGGCAGGCAUUAAAUAAGUAAAUCAGACAAAUUCAAUAUGCUUUCAUUUCUAUACCUAUUCUAUUAAGUCACCUCUUCCAGGUUGUAACAUGACAGCUCUCUUUUCUUCCUCAAUCUCUCACUUUCUUUCUUUUCCCUUCUCUAUCUCAAAUUGUCGAGCUGUUACUGUCUCUUCUAUCCCCUCUUGGUCUCUGUUAUCACAGAAGUGGACAGGAGCCAGGUCUAGCUGUGGUUUUUUGCCAUGUCAGUAGCCACACCAGUUGUUGAUAAAAAUCUGGCACCGUGAGAUGAGGCCAUCUGUGGUGAAGUUUAAACCUAUUUACCUCCCUGGCAAGCUGGUUGAAGCCUCCCUUUCUCUGUAUUCAGUGAGGCUGAAGAUGACAAAUGCAGUGGGAUUAAAGCCAUGGGAUGAAGUUUGGGGCAAAACAAAACCCUUUCCCAAAGACAGAGCUCAUGAUAGCUAUUAGCUGUGAGGAUAAGCAAAUCCCCAGUGUCUGGAGCAUGCAGCCAAGAGACAUUCCAGCUCUGUGUCCCACUCUGUGUACUUGAAGGAGACAGACAACUGGCUGAGUUACAGUCUGGACUUUGGGUACUGGGAGAUGCAAACUGGACUCUGCCACUUCUUUGUUAAAGGACCUUGGAAUAAUCCUGGGCUGUAUUUUGUGAUUUGCAGGGUAAAACCCCUGUUUUAGAGAACUGUUCUCAAAUAUAAUGAGCUACAGAACAAAACUACCACACUUGUGACCUCCAAAUAGGACUCCACAGCUUGACCAAUUACCUGAACCAUAACACUACGGUCCAAAAGCUUUGGUUGCUUCCAAAAAUCCAAUCAACCCUUACAGCUACCAAUGAGGCUAUUCAGACAUGCAUGAAGUAAGCUCUGAAGUCAAUGCCAAAUGCUUUGGACAAUGGCAGCGUCCCUGGGCAGAGGCCAAUUUACCAUGAAGCUAAUAAAGCUGAAGCUUCUAGGCCUCUUUUGAGACCCCCAAGAAGGAUGCUAGCAAUGUGUCCCCAUGUUUGUAUUUUUGUUGCAAAAUUUAUAAAAGUAGGGUGUUUUAAGCCCAAUGAGUUGACUGCUUUCUCUAUUUCUACUUUCCCUCUGUUCGAUUUCCCUUUCCGUUACACGGAGUUGGAGUGAUCCAAGGCAGUUGAGUUAGAGAUACAUUUAGUGUGGGUUUAGCGGGA